rnacentral:rRNA from 1 species
GAUGAACGCUGGCGGCGUGCUUAACACAUGCCAGUCGAACGGGAUCCAAGGGGUGCUUGCACUUUUUGGUGAGAGUGGCGAACGGGUGAGUAACACGUGAGUAACCUGUCCUUUUCUUUGGGAUAAGCAUUCGAAAGGGUGUUUAAUACCUUAUGUUCUGUCUGCCUCGCAUGGGGUGGGUGGGAAAGGCUUUGGCCGGAUUUGGGUGGGCUCGCGGUCUAUCAGCUCGUUGGUGGGGUGAUGGCUUACCAAGGCUUUGACGGGUAGCCGGCCUGAGAGGGUGGUCGGUCACAUUGGGACUGAGAUACGGCCCAGACUCCUGCGGGAGGCAGCAGUGGGGGAUAUUGCACAAUGGGCGAAAGCCUGAUGCAGCGACGCCGCGUGGGGGAUGAAGGCCUUCGGGUUGUAAACUUCUUUUGCUCUGAACAAGGCAUGCCAGUGGGUGUGUUGAGUGUAGGGGUUGAUUAGCGCCGGCUAACUACGUG